GGUAGUUCGGGUACCGUGGUCCGAUACCCGAAUUAACCAUAAUGAUUUCGGGUACCGUGGGUUGGAACCCGAAUUAGUGUUCGAGUUUUUCGGGUUCGGGCUCAGGUUUUUUGGGUACGGGUUUUGGAUUUCGGGUAUUUUGCCCACCCAUAAUUGGGAUUCCAUUUUUCCAACUGACAUCCGAGCCUCACCUGUCAUUCUCCAGUGUGACUCCGCGCAUAGCGUGCCCUGCGCCGCCACGUCCGGGCGUCCGCGUGCGCGCCGCCGCGCUGCCAUGCCCCACCACCGUCAGCUCCUGCCCGCCCCACUGCCGCCGUCCGGUGGAGCUUGCCCUGCUCCCGCCCGCGUCGCCGGCGCCGAUCCACGGAAGCCUCCCAACCACUGCCGCCUCCCCCACCUCACUCGCUGUUGCGCCCGACGACCAAGACCGCCGCCGCUUCCUCCGCUUCUCGGCGUCGCCUCCCCGCCCUCGUCGCCGGAGGAGGAGCCCACACCACCAGCGCCCAGGCACCAAGGCGUAAACAAACUCUUGGCUACCGGUACUACAAGCAUGGAUGGCCAAGAGAUUCUUAGUUGUAUACAGACAUUAGCAUUCCUUCCAUUAUGCUAUGAGAGGCCUUCCCGCUGAAAGACCUCAAGCACCCAAGGAGGAAGAGGUUGCAAAAAAAAAAAAAACUAGCAAAGAAGACUAUGUAAAUAUUAGAUGUAGCACUUGGAUGGUACUUUAUCCAGUACUUGGAUGCUCACAUCAUUUUGUAACACUUGGAUGGUGCCUGUUGCUGCAUUGUUAAUUCUGAAUGUUACUGAAUUUCUGUUAGUUGACAAUACAUCAAUGAAACUCUGUUUC